rnacentral:lncRNA from 1 species
AGGGGUGAAAAUUAGGAUUUUGGGGGUGUUUUUGAAAAGAAAAUCGGAAACCAGGGGUCAAAAUGUAAUUUAGAAAAGUUGUGCUAUGUCAGCAGCCACGUCUACAGCCCAGUCAGUAGCCCUGGCCAACCAGAACACGCUGUGUGGAAAGGAAGCUGACGCGGGAGGCCACGCGGGACGGAGCCACGUGGGCGAUUCGCGUGCACGCGAUCGAACGGUCCAGAUCUCACGCGUGCGGAUGGCCCAGAUCUCACGCGUGCGGACGGCCUAUAUUGAAUCACGCACGGAUAACCCAGAUCACAUCGCGAUCGACGGUCCAAAUUUAUUCCUAUUUUAAUCGCGAUCGGACGGUCAAAAUUAAAUCGUGAUGGACGGCUGAGAUUAAAAGGGGAAGGUUAUAAAUAACCUCACCCACACCCGACCCAAAACCCUAGCCGCCAGAUUAAAUCGCGAUCGGGCGGCGGUGCCGUCGCCGGAGCACAGCGGAGCCGCCGUGCCGGAAUUUCGAUAUUGGCCGAAAAGGGGCCCUGGGUCUGAUUUGGGGAUUUUUGGGACACGUGCAGGUACAGGUAGUGCGUUUCAGUUUCCCGGAGAAAAUUCAGAGAAUUUAGGGACAGCCCGUAGGCGCAUUGUAGAGCCGAUUUCAGACCCCGAAAUAAGUAAGG